AGUGUUACGCAGGGUUGUGAGAACAGCCCAAUGAUUUGUGAGAGCCAGUCGGCUUGUGAGCCCAAGACAUGGGUUCCUCCAUCCCAGGGUGGAACUUUACUGCAGCAUGUGGGUGCCCAGUAAGCACAGAGGACUGUGUGCAGUGUACUGUGUGCAGUGUACUGUGAGUUUGAUGUAUUUCUUGGCUUAGAUGGUUAUCAAGUUUCUCAACAGAAAGCUCAACUGAUCAAAGAGAAGGAAGGAAGCAAUUUGCUGGGCUCCCAGGACACCAACGCAGAGCUACCUUCGAGCCGGCACUGUGUGACUGCAUGGAGACUGUCUGUGCCAGUGGGCCAGACCUAAAGAAGGAACUACCAGAUGAUGCUGAGGAUUCCUGCAUUCAUCGACAGAAGCAGUUUAGUGAGACAAAGGAACCGUAAGGCAGGAUAUGCAGUAACUGCUACUGAGCAGAGCGAGUUGCCGUCUGGGAUGCGGUGGCCGUCUACGUCCAGGAGCAGCUCCUGCUACGCAAGGGGGUCCGAAUUCCCACCUUCGGUUCCUUCACCAUCGUCUCCGAACGGAUUGAGGCUGAGGAUGGAACCAUGACUCUGCAGUGGCCUGCGUUUUGCCUGGCCAGGAACCUUGCGGGCAUCCACAACCUGAUGGAGAGCUACCCACCAGGCCAUAAGGAGGUGCAGCCCCUCAAGUACACUGAGGUGGCCGCGGCCGCAUCUGUGACCUGGCAGACUGGGAAGGCCUGCAUAUUUGGCACCACGUCCCUCGUUUCCCACUGCCUGAGGAAGGGGGAGAACAUUGCCUUUGUCCUGAAGGACAUAGGAGUGCUCCUCAUCGAGGGAACGAGAGUUCAGAUGAAGUUCUACUACGACUUCCUCGAGAGGAUCAGCGGGAAAGAGAACCUAGAGAAAGUUGUUUUCAAGGUGCCCCGGCUGCGGGACAUGGUGGUGUCCCGGGUGGCAGCUGUAGCCUCCCUGACGUCCUGUGGCCAAGUCAUCGUCUUUCCCAGGUUUCGACGGGAGUUUGUACCCAAACCACCACCCAGGACAGCCCGCAAGGCCUGCCAUGUCCCAUUGCCACCUCUUGACCAGGCCAAGAAAGAGGAACUUCCUGAAUUGCCACCCCUCCCCAGCUGGAUCCGCGUUACCUUUCUAGUGGAAAAACAGCCUGAGAAGGAAACAAGCGAUGUCAAGAAGAAGGCCAGUCAGCUGCCAGCGGUCCCGGGGGCGUCUUCUGCCAAAAAGCAGCCUCAGAAAAAAAAGAAGGGAAAAUGCUCUACCAAAAGCAAGGCGGCAGAGAUGGCUCCAGCAGAGGCAGCGCAACCUCCAAGUGGCAAAGAAGAAGAACACGGCGCGGUGAAAGCCCCCGCUGGAGGAGGAGUGCCGCAAAAGGCACAGGCCAAGCUCAGAAAGCACCGUGGAGCCCCAGCCCUGCAACAAACACCACUGGCAGCCCUAUGGUCCUCGAGCUCUGAGACCAGCCUGCCCGAGGAGCGCACCUACAGCGCCUCUGCUGCGGUGCCACUGAUGCACAGGAGGACCAGAUCUCUGCAGAGUCAGCCACCAAAGACCAAAGCGGGGCUCCCCAGGCGGGGGAUGUCCUGUCCACGCUGACCAGGGCAUGGGGUGCCCAGGAGAAGCAGAGCUCCACCUGAGGCUGCCAAACAGGUGCGCGAUUCCUCUCUGGGCCAUUCCUGGGGGCCUGUCUGCACCCUUCUUUGGUUUUGGCUCCAAGUUUGCUUUUGGAGGCACUUCUUGCCAUAAGACUCUGACUUAGCUAGGAGAUGACAGGUGGGUGUGGCAAUCAGCAUCACUUGGUGGACAAUUUUACAUUUGAAAGCAUUUCUUUGCAGCUGUUUGCCUUUGGCAGAGAGUGCUGAGGAGUGGUUACUUGAGGAAGGUGUGGGCUGUGACCAAAAACUCCAGCUUGGUAUAGGAGAACUGAGGGAACAACGCCAUCGUAUCCUGCAAAAACCAGGAUGCAGGUGGGCACCUCCCUGCUCCCUCCUAUCUGCUGGCAAGGCGCGGGAGAUGGGGACAAAGGAGUUUCUGCUGAGACCCCAAAGCCACAAGCCGCCACUCCAAAGAGAGCUGACCGUUGUCGUCAACUGAACAACGACCCCUGAUGACCCAUCACUACUGUAGAUCGACGUCUGAGCUACGAACCACGCUGGACCUGUGGUGGUGACUGUCUCUCUCUUGCUUCCUACAAAGACUGCUUGCUUUUAUUUGCUAUCUUUUCUAUCGCCCGUCUUCCCUUCCCCAUCUCCUUAAACAACUUGGGUUUGUAAUAAACUGGACGGGCUAACAUUUAACCCGUGGUGUCUUAAGCUCUCUGUCAG
ensembl:lncRNA